rnacentral:pre_miRNA from 16 species
UUACUAGGUCCGUGCUUCCUUACUUCCCAUAUAGUGUUUGUUUUAUGGAAUGUAAAGAAGUAUGGAGCCUGUAC